UACGUAGGGCGCAAGCGUUGUCCGGAAUUACUGGGCGUAAAGCGUGCGUAGACGGUUAUGUAAGUCGGGUGUGAAAGCCCCGGGCUCAACCUGGGAAUUGCAUUCGAGACUGUGUAGCUAGGGUACGGAAGAGGGAAGCGGAAUUUCAGGUGUAGCGGUGAAAUGCGUAGAUAUCUGAAGGAACACCAGUGGCGAAAGCGGCUUCCUGGUCCAGUACCGACGUUCAGGCACGAAAGCGUGGGGAGCAAACAGG
rnacentral:rRNA from 1 species